rnacentral:misc_RNA from 1 species
ACCAAUAUCUUCAUAGAGUUCAGGGUGGGUCAGAGGAAGCUCAACAGCUUCUUUGAUUUCUUGAAUUUGUGCAUCCAGCCCACCAAUAUCAGCAUAGGACUCCAGAGGAGCCUUCUCUACUUUCAUCACACUGACCAUAGGAUCAACUUCGUCUUGCAGAAGCCCCACAACAGAGAGAACCUUGUUAUGCAUUAGUAUAGCGCAUCCAGGCUCCAACUGAUCCUUAUCAACAAAGGAGAGUAUAUUCACAUAAUACUCCGGCCCGACCGACGACGACACAAUAGCAUGAUUCUCAUCAAUGAUCUCCUCCAGAUUCCCGACGCUCAUCGGAGAUCCACGCAGAUCAUCAACCUUGGAACGAUCCUCCUCGUUCUUAUCCUCAUGAGGGCGCAGCCGCUCCUGGUUCGCCACAAACUCCUCCUCCAUCAAGAGAUAAUCCUUGAUCCGUUCAAGCUUGAGGAGGCGCAGCUUGCACUUGGAGAGCGGCGUCACGGUGGGGAGCCUCGCCGCGGCUUCCGAGCCCUUCUGCUUGCGCUGCUUGCGGCCAACGCGCGACGGCGCCGCCGGCGGCUCGAAUUUCUUCUCCUUCUUAUCGCCGCCGUCGGGCUUGCGAUCGCCGGGGAGUCCUUUGCCCAUGCCGCCGGGGGUGCCUUGGCCCAUGAUCGCCGGAGUGGGGGGUCGUCGGAGAUGGGGAUCGGUUAGGGUUAGGGCUGCGCUAGGGUUACAG